UACAGAGGUCUCAAGCGUUGUUCGGAUUCAUUGGGCGUAAAGGGUGUGUAGGUGGCGCCGUAAGUCGGGUGUGAAAGUCAAAGGCUCAACCUUUGAAAGCCGGUGGAUACUGUGAGGCUAGAGUACGGAAGAGGCGAGUGGAAUUCCUGGUGUAGCGGUGGAAUGCGCAGAUAUCAGGAGGAACACCAAUAGCGAAGGCAGCUCGCUGGGACGUUACUGACACUGAGGCGCGAAAGCGUGGGGAGCGAACAGG
rnacentral:rRNA from 1 species